UACGGGGGGGGCAAGCGUUGUUCGGAAUUAUUGGGCGUAAAGCGUGCGUAGGCGGCUGCGCAAGUCGGUUGUGAAACCCCGGGGCUCAACCCCGGAACUGCGUCCGAUACUGGAAGGCUUGAAUCCGGGAGAGGGAUGCGGAAUUCCAGGUGUAGCGGUGAAAUGCGUAGAUAUCUGGAGGAACACCGGUGGCGAAGGCGGCAUCCUGGACCGGUAUUGACGCUGAGGCGCGAAAGCCAGGGGAGCAAACGGG
rnacentral:rRNA from 1 species